CUGUCUGUAGUCCGACUGGUUUAGCAUGUGGGCUCAUUUGCCUCAGGUCUGGGGUUCGAUCCCCCACAGACCCC
rnacentral:tRNA from 1 species